AUUGAACGCUGGCGGCAUGCUUUACACAUGCAAGUCGAACGGCAGCGCGGGCUUCGGCCUGGCGGCGAGUGGCGAACGGGUGAGUAAUGCAUCGGAACGUGCCCAGUAGUGGGGGAUAGACCGGCGAAAGCCGGAUUAAUACCGCAUACGACCUGAGGGUGAAAGCGGGGGACCGAAAGGCCUCGCGCUAUUGGAGCGGCCGAUGUCGGAUUAGCUGGUUGGUGGGGUAAAGGCUUACCAAGGCGACGAUCCGUAGCUGGUCUGAGAGGACGACCAGCCACACUGGGACUGAGACACGGACCAGACUCCUACGGGAGGCAGCAGUGGGGAAUGUUGGACAAUGGUGGCAAACCUGAUCCAGCCAUGCCGCGUGCGGGAAGAAGGCCUUCGGGUUGUAAACCGCUUUUGUUCGGGAAGAAAUCCUCUGGGCUAAUACCCCGGGGGGAUGACGGUACCGGAAGAAUAAGCACCGGCUAACUACGUG
rnacentral:rRNA from 1 species